CUUUUCUCUUCUGAAAAUCAAAAUUAUUUACGCUCUUUAUUUAUAGAUAGCUGGAUAGAUGUGACCGUUUACUUUUCUGUGUUUAAAUUGAUAAUUGUGGAAAUUUUGUCUGUUGAUUUCUUAUAUUUUCUUUGAUGAUUUUCAUAGUUAAAGAAAGAUGUCCAGUAGCGAGCUUGCUUGCACUUACGCUGCUCUUAUUCUCUUUGAUGAGAACAUCUCCAUCACUGUAUCCUUCAAAAACUAGAUAAAUAAUACUAUUGCUAUCCGGUUUCUUCAAAUAAGUUUUUAGGGUUUGUGAUUUUGGAUUUCUUGGAUUCUUUAACUAUUGCUAAUAGGCAGAAAAGAUUGCAACAUUGGUGAAAGCAGCCAAUGUGCAAAUUGAAUCUUACUGGCCAGGCUUAUUUGCUAAGCUUGCUGAGAAGCGCAACAUUGAGGACCUCAUCAUGAAUGUUGGCUCUGGUGGUGGUGCUGCUGUUGCUGUUGCUGCCCCAGCUGGUGGUGCACCUGCCGCCGCCGCCGCUCCUGCCGCUGAGGAGAAGAAGGUGAGAAGAAAGCAACAAAUCGGAUUUGUUGAAUUGGGUGGUGGUUGUUUGAGGUACUUGAUAUUUCUAACUGUUGUGUGAUUCGUUUUAUUAAUUUUACAGGAAC
rnacentral:lncRNA from 1 species